CAGUCGCCACGGUAAUACGUAGGGUGCAAGCGUUAAUCGGAAUUACUGGGCGUAAAGCGUGCGCAGGCGGUUUGUUAAGACAGAUGUGAAAUCCCCGGGCUCAACCUGGGAACUGCAUUUGUGACUGGCAGGCUAGAGUAUGGCAGAGGGGGGUGGAAUUCCGCGUGUAGCAGUGAAAUGCGUAGAUAUGCGGAGGAACACCGAUGGCGAAGGCAGCCCCCUGGGCCAAUACUGACGCUCAUGCACGAAAGCGUGGGGAGCAAACAGGAUUAGAUACCCGCGUAGUCCCUGUCUCUUAUAC
rnacentral:rRNA from 1 species